rnacentral:rRNA from 1 species
UGGGGAAUUUUGGACAAUGGGCGAAAGCCUGAUCCAGCAAUGCCGCGUGUGUGAAGAAGGCCUUCGGGUUGUAAAGCACUUUUGUCCGGAAAGAAAUCCUUGGCUCUAAUACAGUCGGGGGAUGACGGUACCGGAAGAAUAAGCACCGGCUAACUACGUGCCAGCAGCCGCGGUAAUACGUAGGGUGCAAGCGUUAAUCGGAAUUACUGGGCGUAAAGCGUGCGCAGGCGGUUUGCUAAGACCGAUGUGAAAUCCCCGGGCUCAACCUGGGAACUGCAUUGGUGACUGGCAGGCUAGAGUAUGGCAGAGGGGGGUAGAAUUCCACGUGUAGCAGUGAAAUGCGUAGAGAUGUGGAGGAAUACCGAUGGCGAAGGCAGCCCCCUGGGCCAAAUACUGACGCUCAUGCACGAAAGCGUGGGGGAGCAAAACAGGAUUAGAUACCCUGGUAGUCCACGCCCUAAAACGAUGUCAACUAGUUGUUGGGGAUUCAUUUCCUUAGUAACGUAGCUAACGCGUGAAGUUGACCGCCUGGGGAGUACGGUCGCAAGAUUAAAACUCAAAGGAAUUGACGGGGUCAUAGCUGUUUCCU